UACGGGGGGAGCAAGCGUUGUUCGGAUUUACUGGGCGUAAAGGGCGCGUAGGCGGCCAGCACAAGUCAGUUGUGAAAUCUCCGGGCUUAACUCGGAAAGGUCAACUGAUACUGUGCGGCUAGAGUGCGGAAGGGGCAACUGGAAUUCUCGGUGUAGCGGUGAAAUGCGUAGAUAUGUGGAAGAACACCUGUGGCGAAAGCGGUUUUCUAGCUUAUUCCUGACGCUGAGGCGCGAGAGCAAGGGGAGCAAACAGG
rnacentral:rRNA from 1 species